rnacentral:rRNA from 1 species
AGAACGAACGCUGGCGGCAUGCCUAAUACAUGCAAGUCGAACGAACUCUUCGGAGUUAGUGGCGCACGGGUGCGUAACGCGUGGGAAUCUGCCCUUGGGUUCGGAAUAACAGUUGGAAACGACUGCUAAUACCGGAUGAUGACGAAAGUCCAAAGAUUUAUCGCCCAGGGAUGAGCCCGCGUAGGAUUAGCUAGUUGGUGAGGUAAAGGCUCACCAAGGCGACGAUCCUUAGCUGGUCUGAGAGGAUGAUCAGCCACACUGGGACUGAGACACGGCCCAGACUCCGUACGGGAGGCAGCAGCAGGGAAUAUUGGAC